GCCGUAGAAGUUCACGCGGUUGAACGCGCCGUUGGUAUCGGCGAGGAACCGGGUUCGAGUCCCGGCUGCGGCUCCA
rnacentral:tRNA from 1 species